rnacentral:rRNA from 1 species
GAAAGUAGGGGAUCGCAAGACCUUGCGCUUUUGGAGUGGCCGAUGCCUGAUUAGCUAGUUGGUGGGGUAAGAGCCUACCAAGGCGACGAUCAGUAGUUGGUCUGAGAGGACGACCAGCCACACUGGGACUGAGACACGGCCCAGACUCCUACGGGAGGCAGCAGUGGGGAAUUUUGGACAAUGGGCGAAAGCCUGAUCCAGCAAUGCCGCGUGAGUGAAGAAGGCCUUCGGGUUGUAAAGCUCUUUCAGUCGAGAAGAAAAGGUUGUGACUAAUAAUCACAACUCAUGACGGUAUCGACAGAAGAAGCACCGGCUAACUACGUGCCAGCAGCCGCGGUAAUACGUAGGGUGCGAGCGUUAAUCGGAAUUACUGGGCGUAAAGGGUGCGCAGGCGGCUUUGUAAGUCAG